rnacentral:rRNA from 1 species
GAUGAACGCUGGCGGCGUGCCUAAUACAUGCAAGUCGAGCGAACAGACGAGGAGCUUGCUCCUCUGACGUUAGCGGCGGACGGGUGAGUAACACGUGGAUAACCUACCUAUAAGACUGGGAUAACUUCGGGAAACCGGAGCUAAUACCGGAUAAUCUAUUGAACCGCAUGGUUCAAUAGUGAAAGACGGUUUUGCUGUCACUUAUAGAUGGAUCCGCGCCGCAUUAGCUAGUUGGUAAGGUAACGGCUUACCAAGGCAACGAUGCGUAGCCGACCUGAGAGGGUGAUCGGCCACACUGGAACUGAGACACGGUCCAGACUCCUACGGGAGGCAGCAGUAGGGAAUCUUCCGCAGUGGGCGAAAGCUUGACGGAGCAACGCCGCGUGAGUGAUGAAGGUCUUCGGAUCGUAAAACUCUGUUAUUAGGUAAGAACAAAUGUGUAAGUAACUAUGCACGUCUUGACGGUACCUAAUCAGAAAGCCACGGCUAACUACGUG